rnacentral:rRNA from 1 species
CCUAGUAACGGCGAGUGAAGCGGGAACAGCUCAAAUUUGAAAUCUGGCCUUCGGGUCCGAAUUGUAAUUUGCAGAGGAUGCUUUUGGUUAGGUACUUUCCGAGUUCCCUGGAACGGGACGCCUUAGAGGGUGAGAGCCCCGUACGGUUGGAUACCGAGCCUUUGUAAAGCUCCUUCGACGAGUCGAGUAGUUUGGGAAUGCUGCUCUAAAUGGGAGGUAAAUUUCUUCUAAAGCUAAAUACCGGCCAGAGACCGAUAGCGCACAAGUAGAGUGAUCGAAAGAUGAAAAGCACUUUGAAAAGAGGGUUAAAUAGCACGUGAAAUUGUUGAAAGGGAAGCGUUUAUGACCAGACUUUUUCCAGGCGAAUCAUCCGGUGUUCUCGCCGGUGCACUUCGUCUGGUUGAGGCCAGCAUCGGUUUCCGUGGGGGGAUAAAAGCGGUGGGAAUGUGACUCCUCCGGGAGUGUUAUAGCCCGCCGUAUAAUACCUCCAUGGGGACCGAGGUUCGCGCAUCUGCAAGGAUGCUGGCGUAAUGGUCAUCAACGACCCGUCUUGAAACACGGACCAAGGAGUCGAACAUUUGUGCAAGUGUUUGGGUGUUAAACCCUCACGCGUAAUGAAAGUGAACGGAGGUGAGAGCCCUUACGGGUGCAUCAUCGACCGAUCCUGAUGUUUUCGGAUGGAUUUGAGUAAGAGCAUAACUGUUCGGACCCGAAAGAUGGUGAACUAUGCGUGGAUAGGGUGAAGCCAGAGGAAACUCUGGUGGAGGCUCGCAGCGGUUCUGACGUGCAAAUCGAUCGUCAAAUCUGCGCAUG